GGCCACGUGACGGCGCGCGCGAACGGUCAAGCGGGAGGGGUCCUUCCCGAGGCUUGCCGUCACGUGACACGCCACCCCCCGCCCCGGCCGGGCGCUGUCACGUGUGCGGUGCCAGGGCGCGGGCUGCGCACCCGGUCGGGACCCCUUUGGCGCGCGGCGGGGCUGGCGUCGAACGGCUGUAACGGUCCUAACGGCCGGUAACGGCAGCGGCUGUGGCGGCGGCGCCUCGGAGGCAGCGGGGGCGGCCGCGGGGAGCCCGCCGGGGGAUGCCGCAGCGGCUGGGUGAGGAGCGCUGGGCGCGGUAGCUUCCCUUGAGGCGCUGCGAGGGCCGCGGCUCGGCGGGCGCGGUGGGGAGCGGGUGGGGUGGGCCCCCGGUGAGGGGCGGCAGGGCCGGUGGUGCCCGUCCGGGGGAGGAGAGGGUCCUUCUCGUGUAAACAGGGCUUGGUCGGGGGUCAUCAUCCAAGUGACUUGGCGAAGCUUUCCCUUGGUCCGCCUGUGACUUCUCGCACACAGCUGUCUGAAAGGCUCCCUUCCUGCUUGGCGUAGCUCACGCAAUGUCAUCUUACUUGUAGAAACAUUAUGACACACAGCAGCAUCAUGGUGGAUGUAAGCAAGUGGCCAAUAUUUACCUUACUGUCACCUCAAGAAAUAGCAUCUAUUCGGAAAGCGUGUGUAUUUGGUACAUCAGCCAAUGAAGCUAUAUAUGUAACGCACAAUGAUGAGGUAUUUGUUUUUGGACUGAAUUGCAGUAAUUGUUUGGGAACUGGAGAUAAUCAGAGCACAAUACUACCAAAGAAAUUAGAAGCCUUAUGUGGAAAGAAGAUUUCCAGUCUCAGUUAUGGAAGUGGACCCCAUGUUGUACUUUGCACUGAAGAUGGUGAAGUGUAUGCUUGGGGGCACAAUGGUUACAGCCAACUCGGGAAUGGCACAACUAAUCAGGGCAUUACUCCUGUUCAAGUUUGCACAAAUCUGUUAGUAAAGAAAGUGGUGGAAGUAGCUUGUGGCUCUCAUCAUUCCAUGGCGCUGUCAUUUGAUGGGGAUCUGUAUGCUUGGGGCUAUAAUAACUGUGGUCAAGUUGGAUCUGGAUCUACAGCAAACCAGCCAACUCCUCGUAGAGUUUCAAACUGUUUACAGGGUAAAGUGGUAGUUGGCAUUGCUUGUGGUCAGACCUCCUCCAUGGCUGUAGUAAACAAUGGUGAGGUGUAUGGCUGGGGUUACAAUGGUAAUGGUCAGCUAGGUCUUGGAAACAACGGCAAUCAGCUAACACCCUGCAGAGUGGCAGCGUUACAUGGUGUGUGUAUCCUCCAGAUUGCCUGUGGCUAUGCACACACACUAGCACUAACAGAUGAGGGCUUGCUCUAUGCCUGGGGAGCUAACACUUACGGGCAGCUGGGAACUGGCAAUAAAAGUAACCAGCUAAGCCCGGUGCAGAUCAUGAUGGAAAAAGAAAGGGUUGUGGAGAUUGCAGCCUGCCACUCUGCUCACACAUCGGCUGCCAAGACCCAGAGUGGCCAAGUGUACAUGUGGGGCCAGUGCCGUGGGCAGUCCGUGAUCCUUCCCCACCUCACGCACUUUGCCUGCACUGACGAUGUGUUUGCUUGCUUUGCUACCCCGGCCGUUAUGUGGCGUCUUCUGUCAGUAGAGCAUGAAGACUUUUUAACGGUAGCAGAAUCUCUGAAGAAAGAGUUUGACAGCCCAGAAACCUCAGACCUAAAGUUCCGUGUGGAUGGAAAGUACAUCCACGUCCACAAAGCUGUGCUGAAAAUCAGAUUAUGUCUUUGUCUCUUAGGUGUGAACACUUCAGAACCAUGUUCCAGUCAUACUGGAAUGAGGAUAUGAAGGAAGUGAUAGAAAUAGACCAGUUUUCUUAUCCUGUGUAUCGUGCCUUUCUUGAGUACUUGUAUACUGACAGUGUGGACCUUCCGCCUGAAGAUGCAAUAGGGCUUUUGGAUUUGGCUACUUCGUACUGUGAAAACAGACUGAAAAAACUGUGUCAGCAUAUUAUCAAGAGAGGAAUUACUGUGGAAAAUGCAUUUUCAUUGCUCUCUGCUGCUGUCAGAUACGAUGCAGAGGACUUAGAGGAAUUCUGCUUUAAGUUUUGUGUCAAUCAUUUGACAGAAGUGACACAAACCAUAGCAUUUUGGCAAAUGGAUGGUCCUCUGCUAAAGGAAUUCAUUGCUAAAGCCAGUAAAUGUGGAGCCUUUAAGAACUGAAAUGAGGCUGUAAGUUAUGGGUGUUUGUAGGGGGUUUCUGCAGUUGUAACAGGAUGUUGUAACUGUACAGGUAAAAGUGAGUGUUGCCUGGUCUCUUACACCAGAAGACAUGAAAGGCCACAGCGAAAACAAAAGUUUUCUGUGCUCAAGAGUGAACUGUUGUAAAAUGUCAAGCAAAAUAUUCACUUGCAUUUAGCAAACCUGGAUAGUGGAACCAGCUCAAGAUUUCAGCUGGAGAGAGGAAACACGGUGGUGUGCAGGGGCUACCAGCCGGUGUUGAGAAUGCCUCUUUAGCCUGGGAAAUUGCAGUUCUAGCACUGCCUGGCAAGACUUUCCAUUUCUUUGGGGGUUGGAGACUAGUCUGACUGAGCCACUGAAUGAUGUCACUUAAAUCAUUAACUCCCUGGGAUUAUAGAGAAGCAAAUGGCGUGGAAAUCUCCUUCUGCAUUUGCAUGAUUGUGAAUGACUUUGCCAUUUGCCUAUGAUUAACCAAGCAUCUGGUGCUUAGAAAAGUGUGCACAAAUCAUCCAUCCGCAAAGCCUAUGCGAGUGACUUUGAAGAAAGGGGUAACUAGCAAAUCUAAUCAGAAGUAAAUUUCUGUAUUUGGGUAUACCUUAAUGUAAGCUGCAAUGUAUACUUCAUGUAAUCUGUUCAAGCAAUAUUUAUAAUGGCUAUUGGAAAAAAUUCCCUCUUGAAUGACUCCAGAUUAUGUCAGUUCCCUUGGAGGGGAAGGGAUACACUGUUCUGAAAGCAGGGGUUUUGCAUUUAAGUGUUGUCUAAAUGUAAACUACACGUAAUAAAAAUCACUUUUUUUUA